rnacentral:rRNA from 1 species
AGUGAACGCUGGCGGUAGGCCUAACACAUGCAAGUCGAACGGCAGCACAGGAGAGCUUGCUCUCUGGGUGGCGAGUGGCGGACGGGUGAGGAAUACAUCGGAAUCUACUCUGUCGUGGGGGAUAACGUAGGGAAACUUACGCUAAUACCGCAUACGACCUACGGGUGAAAGCAGGGGACCUUCGGGCCUUGCGCGAUUGAAUGAGCCGAUGUCGGAUUAGCUAGUUGGCGGGGUAAAGGCCCACCAAGGCGACGAUCCGUAGCUGGUCUAAGAGGAUGAUCAGCCACACUGGAACUGAGACACGGGCCAGACUCCUACGGGAGGCAGCAGUGGGGAAUAUUGGACAAUGGGCGCAAGCCUGAUCCAGCCAUACCGCGUGGGUGAAGAAGGCCUUCGGGUUGUAAAGCCCUUUUGUUGGGAAAGAAAUCCAGCUGGCUAAUACCCGGUUGGGAUGACGGUACCCAAAGAAUAAGCACCGGCUAACUUCGUGCCAGCCGCCGCAGUAA